CCCCUAUGUUUAUUGCAACAUUAGUUACAGUAGCCAAGAUGGAAGCAACCUAAGUGUCCAUCAAUAGAUGAAUGGAUAAAGAAGAGGUGGUGUAUAUGUAUGUGUGUAUACACGCACAUACACAACACAAAAUAAUGUACAAUUCCAUAUUUAUAUAAUGCAAUAUUAGCCAUGGAAAGAAUGAGAUCUUGCUAUUUAGGACAACAUGAUGGACUCGGGGUAUUAUGCCAAGUGAAAUAAGUCAGGCAGAGAAAGACAAAUACCAUAUAAUUCACUUAUGUGUGGGAUCUAAAAAAACAGACUGAUAAUACAAACUGGUGGUUGUAGGGGCAGAGACAGGCAAAGUUGGUGAAGGGGUUAAAAGGUACAAACUUAGAGUUGUAAAAUGAAGUCAUGGGCAUGAAAAGUACAGUAUAGGGAAUAAAGUCAAUACCGUAAUAAGGUGGCAGAUGGCAACUAUGCUUGUGGUGAGCAUUGUGUAAUAUAUGGAAUUGUGGAAUCACUAUGUUGUACACCUGACACUUAUGUAACAUUGUAUGUCAACUAGACUUCGAUUAAAAAUACACUAAGAAAAGGUAAUUUCAUUCCCCAAAGGGGCAAAAAUCAUAUGGAUGUUCAUUUAAGUCCCGACAGGGGGUUUAUAAAAUAAAAACCACAGUGCAGCAAUAAAGGAAGAUACUAAUGAAUAGUAAUAGCCCCUUCCUGGUUGGAAAGACCAAGGACGGCCGAGAUGACGCUGGGCCCAGCAGGGCCAGAGAGCCCUGUGAGGGCAGAUGAGCCGACUGCAUUGGAAGCUCCUGGAAGCAGCGGCGGGUUCCUGCAUCCCGCAGCGGGAGGAGCCCGGGGCACCACCUGGUGCAGGCUCGGGAAGCCCGCCCCUCAGGGGAGCGUACCUGCCGGCCCCGGGGCGGGGCCUCGGGAGCGCUCGGCCUCGGAGAGCCGCUCGCCGCAGUGCUCCAGUCCUGCAGUGCAGAGGCCGAGGAGACGGUGCUCAGCGCUUUCGCCUUUCAGCUUCCUUUUUUCUCCUCCUGGCAAUGGCCGCCCCCCGCGACGCUGAGAUCCGGAAGGACGUGCAGAACUACUAUGGGCAGGUGCUGAAGAAAUCAGCAGACCUCCAGACCAGUGCCUGUGUCACUGCGGCCAGACUGGUCCCCAAGCACAUCCGGGAAGCCUUGACAAAUGUACAUGAAGAAGUAGCCUUGAGGUAUUAUGGCUGUGGUCUGGUCAUCCCUGAGUGUCUGGAAAACUGCUGGAUUUUGGAUCUGGGCAGUGGAAGUGGCAGAGAUUGCUAUGUACUGAGUCAGCUGGUUGGUGAGACUGGACAUGUCACUGGGAUAGACAUGACAGAAAAUCAGGUAGAAGUGGCUAAGAAGUAUAUUGAAUAUCACAUGGAAAAAUAUGGCUUCCAGACACCCAAUGUGACUUUUCUUCAUGGCUACAUGGAGAAUUUGGAGGAGACUGGAAUCAAGAAUGAGAGUUACGAUAUUGUUAUAUCAAAUUGUGUCAUUAACCUUGUGCCUGAUAAGCAAGCAGUGCUGCAGGAGGCGUACCGAGUGCUAAAGCAUGGGGGGGAGCUGUAUUUCAGUGACGUCUAUGCUAGCCUUGAAUUACCAGAAGAAAUCAGGACACACAGAAUUUUAUGGGGUGAGUGCCUUGGUGGUGCUUUGUACUGGAAGGACCUUGCCAUCCUCGCCCAAAAAAUUGGUUUCUGCACUCCACGUUUGGUCACUGCCAAUCUCAUUACAGUUCAAAACAAAGAAUUAGAAAGAGUGAUCGGUGACUGUCGUUUUGUUUCUGCGACGUUUCGCCUCUUCAAACUCCCUAAGACAGGACCAGCCGAAAGAUGCCAAGUGACUUACAAUGGAGGAAUCAUAGGACAUGAAAAAGAACUAAUAUUUGAUGCAAAUUUCACAUUUAAGGAAGGUGAAAUUGUUGAAGUGGAUGAAGAAACGGCAGCUAUCUUGAAGAAUUCACGAUUCGCCCAGAAUUUUCUGAUCAGACCAAUUGGAGAGAAGCUGCCAGCACAUAGUGGCUAUUCUGCUUUAGGAUCAAAGCCUGCUGAUGUGCCAAUGUCUUUAGAUCAGUUCCAAGGUUUCGAAAUGGCAAUCACUGACAGUGAAGGAAGAUUUAAAGAAUGAAACAGCUGCGUGUCCUAGAAAUAUAACCUUGUGCGCUUGGAGGAGGACGUUCUUAUCUUUUUUAUGGAAGACCUUUCGGAUAAAGAUCUGGAGCACAGUACAGGGUAUAAUCACAGAUCCAUUCAAGCUUGCAGGAGAGUCUGACAAUGCAAAGCCCAGAUGUUCCUCUGAUGUUGCCGGAGGCUGCUGUCUGUAAUUUACAGCUGACCAGAAGAAAGGGGCAGAACGCGAAGGACUUCCAUAUGUCUUUUAAUCUACUCUUCCCCAUAGCACAGACCAUAAGAAAGAAUAAAUGGUGAAAAGCCACUAUAUUCUAGAUCAUUGAUAAAAAUAAUGAAUUAUUUUUUAUCGGUAUUAAUUGAAGUUCAUAGCAAAUGACCUAAAGGCUGGUUAAGCAGGUUUUCCUCUCUCUUUGCUAAUUCAAAGUUCUGGUGCCACUUAGUGGUCAGAUGUGGAACUGAGAAGCCGUCUUCAGGCUUGGCCAAUGAGCGAGCAGGGUUUCAGGAGUAACAGUUGGCAGAGGGUCUCAGGGAAAAAUAUCUUCCUUCUGACCUGUAUAGCACCCUUGGGACUUUCACCGUGUUUGCUCGUAAAACAAAGCUCCUACUGAAAUCAUGCUAACCACGCCAUAAAAUUGCGAAAUCAAAUUUGGUAGGAGUGUUCUUAAGGUAACAUCUAAAUCAAACACUUUUUUUUUUUUUUUUGGGGCAAUUGAAUGAAGACAGCACAUGGAUAAUGAAUCUCUUUGACCUCGUUAGCUCCUAAAGAAUGACAGCAUUUACUACUAUCUGUAGUAAAUCCUAACUGGUUCAGGAAAAGAGUGAUAAUUUUUAAAAAGAGAGGUAGGAGAUGUAAAAACAGUGGGUUUUCUUUUCCUUUAUAAUGUGCCUGGUUAAACUUUUAGGAAACUAUUAGAUUUAGUUCUGGCUUCCAUAGUUAAAGAAUGAGACUGAGGAAUAUUUCAGGAUAUUGUCAUCAUUAGAAAUGAGAACAUGAUUUAGUUGAAGUCCAGUUGCACUUGAAGCUUUGUCAGGAGACACAGAAAGGUGUAAGUCAUAUACAAGCCAUGGUCCUUGUCAUCAGGAGCUGAUCAGUUCUUUAAUAACAGCCUUCAAGCGAUGAAGAGUUUUAGUGAGAAAAAUCUUAAGUUGCUCUGACUUCAGUGCAAAAAAAACAUGGGGGGGAGUGGCAUGACCCAAGAGAUUUUUUAUUAGGGGUAUGAGAAUAUGUGUAAAACAUUGGAAUGGAUUCUAUAUUCCAGGCCCCUCUUAAUAAAGCUGUUAAAAAUGGAGAAAUCCUCAGAUUUUUAAGUGGGUUCAGCCAUAGGACCUGACUUACGACUACAGACUAAGGAGAGGACUGGGUGGUAUCUUUUAAGCUCUAUUCAUCUCUGUGACCUUGAUUCUAAACAGUGCUUUUGUGGUUCUAGAGUUCAAUAUCUACCUCGUCGUAACCUACUUCAGUGACAGCGUUAGUUAUAAUGGUGCAGGUGGGAUUAAGCAUACUUCACCAUCCAUGAGCCCAAGGUCGUCCUACUAGGACAUUCUGGUUAUUUGGUUUACUAGGCUUUUCUAAAUUUAGAGGGAGGAGGUUUUAGGCAAUCACUUGUCAUUCUGAAUUCUCAGUUCCCCCCAAAAGAUAUUGAGGGAUGAGUUGGAACUGGAAUGUGGAAAUUCGUGUUGUGCUUGUCCUAAGAGUAAUAUAUUUUAUAUGUUAUUUUCCAACAAAAAUAUACAUUGUAAGAACUAUAUUUGAUCUAGAAUCUAGACAAAAUAUUUAUUAGAUAAUGUAAAAUAAAGUAGACAUGUUUUGUUCAGAAAAAUGCCAUACACAGUUAUUUAAAUAUUCAAAAUAAGUGAGAUAGACGAGUAGGCGUGUACGUUGCUUCUCACAGAGGAUACCUCUCCUUUAAGCGUGAGAGGAAGCGUGGAAUGAUGAGGAGGUACAGAAGUCUGAUGGCAAACUUGAUGGUUCUUUUCCCCUUGGCAUUUUGGCCUUGAGAAAAUUAUUUAACAUCUCUGCCUUUGUUUCUUCGUUGCAGGAAGUUCUUUGAAAGGGUGGGUGGCACAUAGUGAAUUGUUACUAGUUUAGAGCUAUGUGGCUGGCUACGAGCACGUGAUGGCAAGCCCGGCUGAAGACCAGCUUGCUGCCAGAGUGUGGUUUAGGAAGCUGCCUAUAGCUCUCCUGACAGCAGAUAACUUCCCCCCCAACGUUGUAUUACCACCUUUUCAAAUAUGCACAAAGGUUUAAUGCAUUGUAGCAACUGCCUAUUUACCCACCACCUAGGUUACUUGUUAACCUUCAUUUCGUACAUGUUAUACUUACUAACAGCGGAGCCAGACAAACAGGUCCCUAAUUCUGUAGCUACAAACACUUUUCAGAAGAUAGUGGACUGACUC